GAUCUGGCACUACCGCGGCCUCAUAGAACUACUCCCUAGCUCACAACCCAUCUGAGAUUACCAUGGAGACCAGGCAGACCCCGCCUCCCAGCUUAUCCUUCUAAUUCUAUUGGCUGAUUGGAGGGUGUUUAUAAUGAGGCGGGGAGCCAAUGCUCUUCCGGCUGCUGGCUGAUGGGAUGGAAUUCCCCUUCCUGUUUUUGCCAGUGAUUGGCCAAUUCGGGAAUUCCUGGUUCCACCCUCAAAGCCGGCUUGUAAAUAGCUCCUCACCUUCCUGUACUUCUUAGCUUAAAGGUGCCUCCUGAGCCCCUUGAAGAGGAAAACACAACUUGAGGCAAGAGCGGUGUGGGUCUGCGUGUCUUGGGCUGCAUCAGGCACCUUGAGCACGGUCAAGGAGCCGGGGUCUUCCACCGUGGAGGGCGAUCUUCGUCAGUACUGACAUUGUUUCACGUGCUGAUGUGUCUCUGUAUGAGCAGCCCAGUGUCAAGGUGCUAAUGGAAUCUAGGGAGGGAAAAUGAGGAUCUCGAGGUGGACGAAGACAGCUCUGGAGCCUAACAGGCCUGAAGUGGUGCAGGUGAGGGAGGACAGCUCUCAAGGUCUGGUGGGAUGAAGAAUGCAGGUCAAGAGUCUGGACACAGCUUAUCUGGGUUCUCCAGGGUCUCAUCAGGUUUCAAUCAAGGGAUUUUACUAUAAGAAAAAAGAAGAAACCAGGUGGUGCCUUUAAUACUUUUCUUGGAAAUCUCCUUAGCCAUGUAACAACUUCACUUACAAGUUCUGCUUUCCAUGUAACUGCAGGAGACAAUUUUUAAGCUUUCUGCCACCAUGUGACAAGGAUCUUCCAUCCGUCAGUUUUCUAGAAUAUGUUCCUCACUUCAUUCUGAGCCUUCACUGGCAGUGAGUGCCCUUUAAACUUUAGUAAGAGAGAUGAAUAUACUUCCCAGAUCUGAAAAUAAAGGAAAAGAAAAGAAAUUGGAAAUGUAGUAAUUACUAGAUAAGAGUAUCAAUUGUUGUAGGAAAAGUGCAUAUCAAACAUAAAUUAAGGACAUCUUAAUUUCACGUUGAAAUGGAGAUAAGGAAAAUUAAACAAAGUCUCUUAAGAUUUUUAACCAUAGAAAUGUUAUUUUUCCUGAAUAUAUCUGAUUUACAAAAAGAAGCCACUUAGUUGGCAGCAGAGAAGAAAUCAAAUGACUAUUGCAUUGGGCAAAUGUGCUGCAAAAGACCUCUUUAAAGUUUUAAAAAGCAAAGGUGUGACUUUUAUGACUAAGGUGUACCUGACCCAAGCCAUGGUCUUUUCAAUCGCCUCAUAAGCAUGUGAAACCUGGACAAAGGAAGAUUGGAGGAGAACUGACACAUUCGAAUUGUGGUGUUGGCAGAGAAUAUUGAAUAUACAUACCAUGGUCUGCUAGAGGAAUGAACAAAUCACCCUUAAAGGAAGUACAGCCAGAAUGUUCCUUAGAAGCAAAAAAAGAAGCAAGGAUGGCAAGAUUUCUCUUGCUUGCUUUGGACAUGUAAUCACAACGACCAAUUGCUAGAGAAGGACAUCGUGUUUGGCAAAGUGGAGGGUCAGCGAAAAUGGGGAUCCACUUGAGACGGAUCACGUGGCGGCUGCAACAAUGCGCUCGAACACACUAAUGAUUGUGAGGAUGGCGCAGGACUGGGCAGUGUUUCCUUGUUAUACACAAGGUCACUGAGUCAAAGCCAAUUCCACGGGAACUAGCAACAACAAUAACAACAAAGUUGGCUUUUAAAUAUUCCGACGCUUUAAGUCCCAAUUUUUUUUUUUUAAGUCCCGUGGAAACUUUUUCUUUUAUUAUUGUGCUUUAAGUGGAAGUUUACAAUUCACGUCAGUUUCUCAUACAAAAACUUAUUCACACAUGGUUAUGUGACCCUAGUUACUCUCCCUGUAAUGUGACAGCACUCUCCUCCUCUCCAGCCUCUAUUUCCCAUGUCCGUUCAACCAGCUCCUGUCCCCCUCUGCCUUCUCAUCUCGCCUCCGGACAGGGCCGCCCACAGUCUCACGUGUCUACUCGCGCUAAGAAGCACACACCUCACCAGCAUCAUUUUAUGUCUUAUUGUCUAGUCUAAUCUCUGUCUGAAGAGUUGGCUUCAGUCCCAUGGAAACUUUAUCUGAAUAGUUUUAAGCAGUGAGUAACAUCAGUAAUUUGUAAUAUAAAGUAAGAAUCAUGUUUGGAUCUUCUAAAUCUGAUUCACAGAUUCUGCUUAGUGCAAUAUUAUUCAAAUUUGGGAGUGGCCUUCAGAAUUUUUUUAAAGUAAUUAUCAGUCACAGUGAUGUCCUGUAAAAGAAGUUUCUGUAAGCUGAAGAUAAUUAAAAGUUGUUUGUCAUGUAGUCAAGAGAAAUUGCCAAAUGUGCCCAUUCUCUCAAGUGAAAAUAAGACAAGCAAAAAAAUAGAUUUUGAAAAUAUUAUUGAUGAGUUUUCCUUCACCGAAGUAAGCAAAGUAAAAUUAUGAUAAAUUCCAUUUUGAGUUUAAAGGAAACAUUUAAACUGAAAAUAUUGUUGUGAGUUUCACUAUUUCUCAUUUUUUCCAUAUAUUUUCAACUACUUCAAUAUUCUGGAUUUUUAAAGCAUGUACAAGGGUACACAUUUCUCCUUUUGCCUCUAGGUCCAACAUGGCACAGCAAGGUGCUGCUUCUGGGAGGACAGGGUCGAAGUAAGGUGAGGCAGGGAGAAAGGGUGAAACUGAGGUUUAUGGGGUCUGCAGGGGCCUGGUGAAGCAAGGUCUUGUAGGGCAGGAGAAGGAGCGUGUCCUGGUGACUCUAAGACCACGGGACAAAGAUUGAGAAGAUCUUGCCUUUCCUGAAGGGGAUACCAGACACAGACUCAGGUUGGCUGGGCCAGGACAGAAGAAGGCCUCAGCUUAGCACCAAGAAAAUCCAAACCCGUUGCCAUGGAGUCGAUUCCGACUCAUAGCACCCUACAGGACAGAGUAGAACUGCCCCAUAGGGUUUCCAAGAGCAGUUGGUGGGUUCCAACUCCUGACCUUCUGGUUAGCAGCAGAGCUCUUAACCACUGCAGACGGCCACCAAAUGGUCAGUCGUGUCACCUCAGAUAAUGCUACUGUAAAGGCUGGAAGUUGGGGGACCUCCGUGACACCUGCCCUGCUCAAUCUGCAGGUCCAGCUUCUGCCUUAUGGAGGCUUUGGGCGAAGAUACAUGCCAUCACCUUAUCACAGAGAUGAGUGUGCACACAAAUGCAGAAUACCACACAAUUCUCUCCUAGAUGACAAAUCAGGGACCUCCCCCCGCCCCCUUCCCCAUUCUGCUCAGGGAGAGUUCAGAGCUUCUCCACAAUCUAAAUCAGGUCACAUCUCUCCCUGACUUAUAUCCUCCAGCAGGUUCCCAUGGCUCUUAGGAUCAAAUCUAAAUCCCUGGCUCAGGUGUCCAAGCCCUGCCUGGCCUGCUCUUGCCCUCCUCACUCCCUCCCCUCCUGCCUUCCCACACUCCGGUCACACUGCCCCUUUUUUCGGCUCCUGGGACACUCAAGACUCAUUCUCACCCCCAGGGCCUUUGUAUCAGCUGUUCCCCUACCUGGCGCUCUUUCCUUUCCCCUAGCUCCUUCUGGAGAAGUUCAUCCUUCAGAUCUCAGCUCAGGUGUCCCCUCCUCAGAGAGGCUUCUCUGCACCCCCUUCUCCUGGGUCCCUCUCCUUUCUAGUUAUUCCCUUCACAGCCCUCGGUCCACUCUGAAACAACCUCAUUUAUUUGACUGCUUAUCCCUGACCCUCCACCCUCCUCCCGCCCCAUGAAUCAUGAGCUCCAGGAGAGAUACGGCCUUGUCUUUGAUCACUACUUAGACUCGGGGCUGAGCACACGUCCGGGUAACACCAAAACGAAACAAAACAAAACAAAACAAAACAAAAACCCCAAACCCACUGCCGUAGUCCAUUCUGACUUAUAGACACCAGGCUCCUAAUUCAAAUAAGUUGAAUGAAUUCAUAAAUCCUGCCCUCCGCACUCAUGGAACCAAUAUGAGGUUCAAUCAGGAAUAUAGCCGCCAGUAACUGAGGCCCAUAUACACUAUACACUGAACCAGUCAGGAGUUCAAACCGUGGAUAAAUGCAAAUGACUGAAACUCGAACUCUACAUCGAGAAGAAGCUUUCCUAGGUAAGGAGGCUGCGGUUCCUUGAAGGAAAAAUCCGCACUGAACACUUGAGACUCCGCCCUUUAUAUUCCAGCAGCCAAUCACAUGGAGGAAUUAAGGGCGAAGAGCGCAUUGGUGAAUAGAGACCACACCCCGAUUACGUCACUCACCAUGACAACCUCCCGCCUUUGAUCCUGAAUUUGAGAAAUGGCCCUCGUUCCUUAAUGAGUUUAUAAGGGAACACCUUACAGGUUAUAUG